UACCACUAUUUUCCAUGGACAUGCUGUGGGUUAUGGUUUCAACCUCAAUGAGCACGUAAAUUCACUACACCUUCGCACUGUGGUUCUUUUACUGCUUUUGUUGGCUAUAAUGCACCGGUUAGGGUUGUUUGUAUUUAGUUUAUGUAGUCCAUCUUUAGUCGGUAUCACACUAUGGUUAUUACCCCACCUUGUCACCACCUAACCAUAUAAACCACCCGCUCAACAAAACCCCGACCCGAUCGAAGCGGGGUUGUGAAGUUGACAAGUACUUCUUUAACCAAUUCGAUGUUUUGCAACGCUGUAUCAAAUGUUUGCAAAAGUGCAUAUGAAGUUUAGUCUUCUAUGAGCAGACAAUUUGUAAGCAAACCAGAAAUACCGAUUCUUGAGGAUGUGUAGCGAUAGCGGGGGAUUAUAGUUCAUCAUGGCGACGACAUUUCACCAACCAGAAAGUCUUGACCACAGAAGAGAAUUUAAACGAAAUCAUAGAAAUUCUCCUUGAUUUUGAAAAACAGACUAGACCUGUGAGCAAGGUGCAUCUCGGAAUCAAUUGCACCGAUCAGUUUCGAAGUUGGCUUGUAUAUCUUGGCCAAACACUACAGCCUUGUGGCGUUCAAUGGAUGGUCGUCAACCUUGACAAUUUAGUCGAGGAAACAGAAGAAUUUCAUUUUAAUUUGGUUGGGUGCUACCUCGAUUAUGGCUGAUCAGUGCCAAUUUAAGCAGGUUUCAACCAUAGGAUAGGAACCUGACGUUUGCGGUGUAAGUGGUUGAGGAAAGGCAAUGAUAUUUGAUAAUACAAUUGAGAAGGAUUAAUAUUUGUAAACCUGGCUGAACAAUGCAAAUGAAAUUGUAUUGAAUCUGGAAUUCAGCUUCGUGGCAUUGCAUAAGUUAUAAGAUACGUAUAUUUAUUUCUAAAUAUAUUUGGAAAUGGUAUGCAUUAAUGAGAUGUUUUUUUUUUUUUACAGAUUAAUCAGAAUAACAAAGCUAUCAAAUGAAUUGAGCAUUGGAACGCGUAGGAAUGAGAUAUUCUGCCAUGGAUUUGAAGAAAUGGGAAGUGAUGAAAAAAGGAACUAAAACCAAUAGCUGAGAACGAUUAUAAUUCAAGGUGAAUUAAAAGAUAAAUAAUGAAGUAUGUUACAAGAAUGGAAUGGUUUUUUCGCUGUUGCACGAAUGAGGUAAAAAAGAAAAUAAUGGAAUGAAUUGUGGGGGAUUUAUUUAUACUAUGAUAUUAGCAGAUCGAUAAAUCUGGUGAUGAUUAAGACAUUUUACUUGUGAAUAGUAAAAUGUAUAAGCUGAUAUUUACGAACUGUAUGAAUGGGUGUAUAGUAGCCAUAAAAUUUGCUACGGUGGUUUUUUUACAACAAAUGAGUAGGUUGUCAAUAUAAUUGACUUAAAAAUCCGCAGUUAUUGCACUAUGUAACAGUAAAAUGGUAAAAAAAAAAGGGGUUUAAUCUAAUCUGU